GCUGAGCCUGCCACUCACUGUAAGGAGGUGGCCUGCAGGAGGUGACCAAGCUCUGGCUCCGUGGCUGGGGUUCUAGACUCCUGGAAUUUCCUGAGCGCUAGGAGCCCAUGGACCACAGCUGAGUUAAAGCUAACGAGGUAACUCAGGAUCGGGCUGGUUGUGGUGUCAGCCUGACCUCCCCACCUCUGGGGAGGGAAGACGGAGUUAGAGUUCAGUCACGCGGCCAAUGAUUCGGUCAAUCAUGCCUCUGUAAUAAAAUCCCGGUGAAACCCUGGAUACCCAAAGCUGCCCCAAGGUUGUUUUGAGAAACCCAGACUGAUUAAAAAACCAUGUCCAAGCAAUUGUUUGGCACCACGAAGA